GGGAGUGUGGCUUAGCGGUAAAGUGCUUGCCUAGUAUGCAUGAAGCCCUGGGUUCAAUUCCUCAGUACCA
rnacentral:tRNA from 1 species